CAUAAGACUGCUGAACAGUUAAUCAAAUGACUACCCGGUCUUUAUGCUUUUCACCCCUACCUACAUGUACAAUGUGUUCAAUCACUCACCUAAUCAAACCUAAGUAUUACCUCAAUCAAUCACUCCAACUACUUUGUACAUUGACUUGGAACCAGAACUCCUUGUAUAUAGCCUCGUUAUUGUUAUUUUGUGUUAUUUUAUUGUGUUACUUUUUUCUUGAUCUAUUUGUUAAUUUUCUUACUUUGUUGAGAAUGUGUUCAUAAGUAAGCAUGUCACGGUAAAGUCUACACUUGUUGUAUUCUGCACAUGUGACAAAUACAUUUUUUUUGACACACCACAGUGUCUGUUUUCAGAUGUUUUAACUAGCCCUGAUAUCACAAGCACGGACUAUUUCCCACACAAUUUCUCCCAUCCAGAAAGGAGCUGAUUUCACAUGUUCUAACUAAGUCUGUAACCAUAGGAUCAGAAAAACACACACCGUACAAAAGGACUUAGCUGUAUGACAAGAGUACAUGCCAUAUCUGGCAUAUUGGUGUUUUUUUGUGAACACGAAACCAAUCCAGUUGUCGGACAAUCGGUGGGACACACACGCCAGCCCCACUCCUCCUCUCCUUUACCCUUUUCAGAUUCCGAACAUACCGGUCCUGAAUCUUUCUACAUGUUUCUAUGACAUCAGUAAAUGUUGUUACACAGUAUCUCCCGCCAGCUGUUGCCUUUUGUGUGCUUGUCUGAAUACAACCGCAUUGAAGGGUUGUAAAGGUUCUUGUAUUGUCUCACCAGCUCACACAGACGCUCCUCAAAACUGGACAGAGUCGGACAUAAUUGCAGAUAGCAAAUCUCGAAAUAAAAGCACAAAAAAGGAAGCUUGCAAGUAGUAGAAGCGAAGUAGCAGAAUAUCCAUCUUUCGUGUUUAUAUCACAAGGGAUUCCGGAAAAUAUGUGAUGUAGACACAGGGGCGGGACUCAAUCAAUACUUAGCCCUCAGUCUUCACAUGGAAUGAUACGUUGUGCAUCAAUUUCCAGAUAGAAAAAAAACUGUUGAACGACGGAGCAUAUUACAAGGAGCCGUGUGACGAAAAACGUUGGCCCUUUUUGCAUACUUUGUGUAGACCCUUUAAGAGAGCUCCUCGAUGAGCUUGAAACCUUGAUAAGCUCAUUUCCUGAUGGCUCACCGCUCUUCGUACUUCGCGACUUCAACGUCCCAACGUCUUUCGAUACAUUUAUUUCCUCACCUUGCCUUUUUUGACACCACUCUUUCCCAGUCUCUCCCCCCACCCCCACUCACAAGGCAGGCAAAAUGCUUGACUUCAUCUUUACUAGAGGCCUACUAAUCUCACUGCAACCCCCUCCAGGUCUCAACCCCCUCCAGAUCACUACUUUGUUUUCUUUUCUGUCUCCCUCUCCUCUAACCCUAGUCACUCAGCCCCUACCCAGAUGGUCAUGCGUGGUCAAAAUCUUUGCUCUUUCUCUCCCACUACUCUCUCCUCUUCUAUCCUAUCAUCUCUCCCUUCUGCUAAAUAUUUCUCACGCCUGUCUCCUGAUUCUGCCUCUUUGACCCUACUCUCUUCCCUUUUUGCAUCUUAUGACUCACACUGUCCCCUUUCAUCCUGGCCGGCUUGGCCCUCCCCUCCUGCUGUGUGGCUAAGUGACUCAUUGCAGCUUACAGAACAGUGCUGCAGGCAGCUGAGUGAAAAUGGAGGAAAACUAAACUUCCAGGGACCUUGCACUCCCUCAUCUCUAACUUCUCUUCCUCUGUAUCUGCUGCUACAGCCACCUUCUAUCAUUCUAAAUGUCAAGCUUCUGUCUCUAACCCUAGGAAACUAUUUUACACCUUCUGCUCCCUCCUUAAUCCUCCACCCCCUCCCUCCCUUCCUCUCUGUGGACGGUUGAUGACAUCCACUCCUCAUUCACUCAGCCUAUUGAGUCCACUGGUCCCACUCACACAGAACUACCCUACACCUUUGAACUCUUUCUCCCCUUUCUCUUCAGAUGAAAUCCUGUGACUAGUGAGGUCCGGCCGCCCAACAACUUGCACGCUCGACCCGAUCCUCUCCUCGAGACCAACUCUGGAGAACUACCAUGCAUCACUUCCCUCAUCAACUUAUCCCUGACCACUGGCUGGUUCCCCACUGACUUCAAAAUAUCCAGACCGAUCUAUCCGCUGCCUUCAAUAUCGUGAAACAUCAGAUCCUCCUCUCCACCCUGUCAGGGCUGGGCAUCUCAGGCUUUGCACACCUGGAUUGCAUCCUAUAUGACAGGCCACUCCUACCAGGUGGCGACACACAUCUCUGUAUGCCUGGCAGAUACUGUAUCUCCGCUUGGAUGUCGGCCCACCACCUCAAGCUCAACUUCGAAAAGACCGAACGUCUCCUCCUCCCAGGCCUUCCCACUCCAAAACCUUACCAUCACUGUUGACAACUCUACGGUCUCCCCCUACCAUAGUGCAAAGAACCUUGGCAUGACCCUGGACAACACCAUGUCAUUCUCUGCAACAUCUGUAGAGUAUGACCCUACCUCACACAGGAAGUGGCGCAGGUCUUAAUCCAUGCACUUGUCAUCUACCAUCUGGACUUCUGGAACUCGCUGUUGGCUGGGCUUCCCGCUUGUGCCAUCAAACCUCUGCAACUUAUCCAGAAUGCUGCAGCCCGCCUGGUGUUCAAUUUUCCCAAGUUCUCCCAUGUCACCAGCUCCCCCCACACACUCCACUGGCUUACAGUCGAAGCUUGUAUCCACUACAAGACAAUGGUACUUGCCUACGGAGCAGCAAGAGGAUCUGCCCCUCCCUACCUUCAGGCUAUGCUCAAAUCCUACACCCCAACCCGAGCACUCUGUUCUGCCACCUCUGGU